rnacentral:piRNA from 2 species
UGGAGUACAUCGUCCUCAACGUGGGC